rnacentral:rRNA from 1 species
CCUACGGGGGGCUGCAGUGGGGAAUAUUGGACAAUGGGGGCAACCCUGAUCCAGCCAUGCCGCGUGUGUGAAGAAGGCCCUCGGGUUGUAAAGCACUUUCAGUGAGGAAGAACGCCUGGUGGUUAAUACCCAUCAGGAAAGACAUCACUCACAGAAGAAGCACCGGCUAACUCCGUGCCAGCAGCCGCGGUAAUACGGAGGGUGCGAGCGUUAAUCGGAAUUACUGGGCGUAAAGCGCGCGUAGGUGGCUUGAUAAGCCGGUUGUGAAAGCCCCGGGCUCAACCUGGGAACGGCAUCCGGAACUGUCAAGCUAGAGUGCAGGAGAGGAAGGUAGAAUUCCCGGUGUAGCGGUGAAAUGCGUAGAGAUCGGGAGGAAUACCAGUGGCGAAGGCGGCCUUCUGGACUGACACUGCCACUGAGGUGCGAAAGCGUGGGUAGCAAACAGGAUUAGAUACCCCUGUAGUC